UACGGGGGGGGGCAAGCGUUGUUCGGAAUUACUGGGCGUAAAGGGCGCGUAGGCGGCCUACUAAGUCGGACGUGAAAUCCCUCGGCUCAACCGAGGAACUGCGUCCGAUACUGGCAGGCUGGAAUCCGGGAGAGGGAUGUGGAAUUCCAGGUGUAGCGGUGAAAUGCGUAGAUAUCGGGAAGAACACCCGUGGCUAAGGCGGCUCUCUAGUACGGUACUGACGCUGAGACGCGAAAGCGUGGGGAGCGAACAGG
rnacentral:rRNA from 1 species